UGGGGAAUAUUGCACAAUGGGCGAAAGCCUGAUGAAGCAACGCCGCGUGAGUGAUGAAGGUCUUCGGAUUGUAAAGCUCUGUCUUUUGGGACGAUAAUGACGGUACCAAAGGAGGAAGCCACGGCUAACUACGUGCCAGCAGCCGCGGUAAUACGUAGGUGGCGAGCGUUGUCCGGAUUUACUGGGCGUAAAGGGUGCGUAGGCGGAUGUUUAAGUGAGAUGUGAAAUACCCGGGCUUAACUUGGGUGCUGCAUUUCAAACUGGAUAUCUAGAGUGCAGGAGAGGAGAAUGGAAUUCCUAGUGUAGCGGUGAAAUGCGUAGAGAUUAGGAAGAACACCAGUGGCGAAGGCGAUUCUCUGGACUGUAACUGACGCUGAGGCACGAAAGCGUGGGUAGCAAACAGGAUUAGAUACCCUGGUAGUCCACGCCGUAAACGAUGAGUACUAGGUGUAGGAGGUAUCGACCCCUUCUGUGCCGCAGUAAACACAUUA
rnacentral:rRNA from 1 species